UGCUCAUACUUUAAUAAUACAUAUUCAGAUGAUAUUGUUAUGAAGGGCAACUGUGCAUUUGUUAAAACAAGAAUUUAUACUUUCAAACAAAACAUUUUAGACUCUUAAAAAUAUUGAAGAGUUUGCAGUUAUUCAGCUGUAGUUUAUGUAUAUUACAGAUUUUUGUUCUGUACAAUUUACACGUAGAAUGUCAUUAGUAAUAAAAAGUUAGUUCUUUUCUCUGGAAGUCGCGUGGCCACAGGAGCUGUUGGUGGAUUCAUGUUUGGCGGUUGUGUUUUUUUUUGUGUAUUGCAUGCGGGGGGCCCCUUGCCCCCUUAAGUUAGGUUCACAUGUGCAUCUUUCCUCUAGGCGUACACUCCUGUGGCCUGAAGACGUCGUGCUGUGAAGGUCUGUUUAUUCUUACUAUAGUUUUUCUUUAUUCUUAUAUAGUCUACUAUAGGCAUAAAUAUAGAGAACCUGUUUUUGACCACCAGAAUUAUUGACAAAGUUGAAAGAAAUGCAAAAUUUAAAAUAAUUGUUGCAUUCCUUUGUGCUUCGUCUCAGUUUGUAUCUGCAAUGGUUAUU
rnacentral:lncRNA from 1 species